rnacentral:rRNA from 1 species
GACGAACGCUGGCGGCGUGCUUAACACAUGCAAGUCGAACGCUGAAGCUCAGCUUUUGUUGGGUGGAUGAGUGGCGAACGGGUGAGUAACACGUGAGUAACCUGCCCCCUUCUUUGGGAUAACGCCCGGAAACGGGUGCUAAUACUGGAUAUUCACUGGUCUUCGCAUGGGGGUUGGUGGAAAGGGUUUUUCUGGUGGUGGAUGGGCUCGCGGCCUAUCAGCUUGUUGGUGGGGUGAUGGCCUACCAAGGCUUUGACGGGUAGCCGGCCUGAGAGGGUGACCGGUCACAUUGGGACUGAGAUACGGCCCAGACGACUACGGGAGGAAGCAGUGGGGAAGAUUGCACAAUGGGAGAAAGCCUGAUGCAGCGACGCCGCGUGAGGGAUGGAGGCCUUCGGGUUGUGAACCUCUUUCGCUAAUGGUCAAGCCGCAACAAUGGUUGUGGUGAGGGUAGUGGGUAAAGAAGCGCCGGCUAACUACGUG